rnacentral:rRNA from 1 species
UACAGAGGUCUCAAGCGUUGUUCGGAUUCAUUGGGCGUAAAGGGUGCGUAGGUGGCGCGGUAAGUCGGGUGUGAAAUUUCGGAGCUUAACUCCGAAACUGCAUUCGAUACUGCCGUGCUUGAGGACUGGAGAGGAGACUGGAAUUUACGGUGUAGCAGUGAAAUGCGUAGAGAUCGUAAGGAAGACCAGUGGCGAAGGCGAGUCUCUGGACAGUUACUGACACUGAGGCACGAAGGCCAGGGGAGCAAACGGG